rfam:Rattus norvegicus chromosome 10, whole genome shotgun sequence.
GGGGAUUUAGCUCAGCGGUAGAGCACUUGCCUAGCAAGCGCAAGGCCCUGGGUUCGAUCCCCAGCUCUG